rnacentral:rRNA from 1 species
GACGAACGCUGGCGGCGUGCCUAAUACAUGCAAGUAGGACGCAGUUGCGAACGGGUGAGUAACGCGUAGGUAACUACCUAUUAGAGGGGGAUAACUAUUGGAAACGCUAGCUAAUACCGCAUACUAGUAGAUGGACCUGCGUUGUAUUAGCUAGUAGGUAGGGUAAUGGCCUACCUAGGCAACGAUACAUAGCCGACCUGGGGGGGUGAUCGGGCACACCGGGACUGGGACCAGGCCCCAGACCCCACGGGGGGGAGCAGUAGGGAAACUUCGGCAAUGGGGGGAAACCUGACCGAGCAACGCCGGGGUAGUGAAGAAGGUUUUCGGGUCGUAAAGCUCUGUUGUGAAGGAAGCGGUACUUAACCAGAAAGCGACGGCUAACUACGUGCCAGCAGCCGCGGUAAUAC